GCUGGGUCCCUUCCGCCCUGGCGCGCUCCUCCACCAGCCCGCGGCUGCGAGCUGGGCAGCGAGAUCCACAGCACAGGGCUGGCGCGGAAAACACCGUCCUGAAGGCUGCUGCUGCGGGUGCUCUUGGAGCGACUUGUGGCUGUCGCCACUUGGUCCCCACAGACUCAAGAGGACGCUACCACCCGGACCGGACUCAGGCAUCCGGAGCACCGCACUCUUCCGAGAACUGCCUACCUCACGUGCCACCUCCGGGUUUCCUUCGCAAAGUCAGCCAAGAUGUAGAAUUUGGAAGUAGCUCUGAGUUGAGCGGAACCUCAGAAGAUGGAAGCAGCGGCCUCAGCCUCUUACGGCUUCAAGAGCCACUGCGGGAAGGAGCCAGAGGGCUUCCUCGGGCCCCGGAUUAAAAUAGAUGCCAGCGGCCGCCCUAAGGCCCGGCAGCCAAUCAGCCUGGUGGGUGGGAUUGGGCAUGGGCAGCUGGAGCGGUUGCGAAACAGGAGAUACUUCCAGGCUUACCCUGAUUUUUUUGAGAAGGGCGCUGGUUCCCUCAGACAUUUACAUAGACUUGUCUUUACGUGUUCAGUGGGCAGUGUGUUCACACCGGGAUUGAAGUCGCUCAACUGUGAAAUGACAUGGGAACGUUCCAGUGUGUUCACACCAGGAUUGAAGUCAAUAAACUGUGAAGUGACAUGGGAACGUUCAAUGGCCUCACACCUCGGAGUCUCAAUCCUUACUGAUUUGAUCCCCUGAAUCCACAGGUGCAAGAGAGAGCCAACUCCUGAAAGUUGUCCUGUGACAUCCACACUUGCAACAUGACAUAGGGUACAUGUGGAUGCCAGAAGACAAACAGAUGUCUUUUCUCAGGAGCUGUCCAUCUUGUUUUCUGACAGUUGUUCUUUGUUAACUAGGGCUCACUGUGUAGGCAAGUCUGGCUGGCCAGCAUCUAUCUCUCUCUACCUCCCAGUACUGGGAUUAUAAGCACCCCCCUCAUACCCUGACUUUUUAUGUGGAUGCUGAGGACUGAAUCAAAUUCUUAUUCUUGUUGGGCAAGCACAUUACCAACUGAACUGAAUCUCCCCGGCUCCUACUGGUACUUCUUAAUGCAUAUUAAUGAACCAACUAAUGGGUUUCACUGUAGAAUAGAUAGAUAGAUAGAUAGAUAGAUAGAUAGAUAGAUAGAUAGAUAGAUAGAUUAAUUAUACAUAGAAAUCACACACACACACACACACACACACACUUCCUGCAGUGUUUAUGCUGACCAUCACCUCUCUUUUCCCAACCACCAUUCCCUUACCUUUCCUCCCCUUCCAACCACUAAUAAACCCCUUUCUUCUGUU